CUACGGGUUGCAGCAGUGGGGAAUAUUGCACAAUGGGGGGAACCCUGAUGCAGCAACGCCGCGUGGAGGAUGACGCAUUUCGGUGUGUAAACUCCUUUUAUAUGUCAAGAAAAUGACGGUAGCAUAUGAAUAAGCACCGGCUAACUCCGUGCCAGCAGCCGCGGUAAUACGGAGGGUGCGAGCGUUACUCGGAAUCACUGGGCGUAAAGGACGCGUAGGCGGGUUGGAAAGUCAGGUGUGAAAUCCUACAGCUUAACUGUAGAACUGCACUUGAAACUUCUAAUCUAGAGUAUGGGAGGGGGAGAUGGAAUUAGUGGUGUAGGGGUAAAAUCCGUAGAUAUCACUAGGAAUACCUAAAGCGAAGGCGAUCUCCUGGAACAUUACUGACGCUAAGGCGUGAAAGCGUGGGGAGCAAACAGGAUUAGAUACCCCCGUAGUC
rnacentral:rRNA from 1 species